AUUGAACGCUGGCGGCAGGCCUAACACAUGCAAGUCGAACGGUAACAGGAAGAAGCUUGCUUCUUUGCUGACGAGUGGCGGACGGGUGAGUAAUGUCCGGGAAACUGCCUGAUGGAGGGGGAUAACUACUGGAAACGGUAGCUAAUACCGCAUAACGUCGCAAGACCAAAAAGGGGGACCUUCGGGCCUCUUGCCAUCGGAUGUGCCCAGUUGGGAUUAGCUAGUAGGUGGGGUAACGGCUCACCUAGGCGACGAUCCCUAGCUGGUCUGAGAGGAUGACCAGGCACACUGGAACUGAGACACGGUCCAGACUCCUACGGGAGGCAGCAGUGGGGAAUAUUGCACAAUGGGCGCAAGACUGAUGCAGCCAUGCCGCGUGUAUGAAGAAGGCCUUCGGGUUGUAAAGUACUUUCAGCGGGGAGGAAGGGAGUAAAGUUAAUACCUGUGCUCAUUGACGUUACCCGCAGAAGAAGCACCGGCUAACUCCGUG
rnacentral:rRNA from 1 species